GACAAGGUGGCCGAGUGGUAAAGGCAAUGGACUGUUAAUCCAUUAUGCUCUGGACGUGUGGGUUCGACUCCCACCCUUGUCG